rfam:Ehrlichia ruminantium str. Gardel, complete genome.
UUUAUUGACUUAUAAGCAGUAUAGUAAUAAAAUACAGCUGUGCUUUUGCACUAUGGCAAUAAAUGCAUCUUAGAAUAAAUGUAUUGGACCCGAGGGCAGUGCUCGGCAUCUCCACUGUUGUUAUUAUGGGGAUGAAACAGGCUCGACAUGCAUAGUAAAGGGGAUAGCUUUUGCUCGGUGAGAAAACAGCCGUUUCAAGUGAUCAAAACUUAUAAGUGCAAACGAUAAUUUCGUUUCCGCUAAUGAUAAUAAUAGCACUGCUAACUUAGUAGCUGCUUAGUUUUAUAAUUAGCACGGUUUUUUGGGGUUUUCCGGGUAACAGAAAAACCCCUCC